CUCAUUGCACCAUCAUGUGUCCUCCAACUGAUCAUCUCGAUGCCUAUGAUCGCACAGCUCGAUCCAUCCGACAGAUAAACAAUAUCCUCAUUGUUCUCUAGGGAGUCAAACUGCUCCUCUCUGCAAUAUACAUGAUAGGUGCAUGCAAAAUCUAAAAUUUAUUGCUAGAAAAAAGUAAAUACCUCAUCAGAUAUCUCUAGGAC
rnacentral:lncRNA from 1 species